AUUUGGCAUUUUUUUUUUUUUUAUUUAAAAUGAGAUUUUUUUGAUAUUCAUUGGAAAGUUAUUCCAAAAAGAGUUCGAGUACUGCGAAUAAUUGCAUUCUUGAGUUGAUAAAGAAAUUGGAAGAGUGUUCGAUAUUCGAGAUAAGAAUCACGAGAUGGAGGAAAACAAAGGAAAAAAAAAAAUCAUCGUACUUCUCAUCACAUGAAAUUUCCAAUUCCCCUCGAUCCAUCGUAAAACGUUUCGCGUAAAAUAUGAUCGUUUCGCGCCAUUUAAUUUCCGCACAGAUAACUGAUCUCCGUUGGUAUUCGUACGGUUGGCGAGAAUAGAUGGAAAGAAAAGAAGAGAAGAGGGAGGGAGAGAAAAUUGGAAUCACGAUCGAUCGAUCGAAACGUGAUUUUACGCGCGUGCGUACCAACAUUUAUGCGAUGCAACACGAUGCUAAUUAACGCGGAGUUAAUUAAAAACGAAUAACAAGGCCAUAGAUCGCCUCCAAGCUUCGAGAUUAUGCGAGAUUAUUGUGAAAUAUUCCAAGGUCGAUAUAAACGAGAUGAAGAGAAGAAAAGAUUUGCGGAGAAAUAGAAAAAUUUCUGUUUCUCGAUGUAUUUCGAGAUAGAAGAAUUUGAUCAGUUGAUCGAUAAUUUUGGAAAGCGAAUAUACGAAGGGUUUGGAGAUCGAUCAGUGCAAUUCACAUUUGAAAAUUUUCCGAUACAAAUGAAUUAAUUAAAUCAGAUCUGUCGAAAUAUUUUUAUACGUUUUUCUAUCUGACUGAAUAAUCGAAUAAUAAGUAUCGAGGAAUUUUGUGGGAAUGCGUAUUGAGUAAGAAGUAAGUUUAUUUAAAACAGGUAAAUGAGUCAUUACCUGUACGCGGAAUAACAUUUUCGAGUCGACAGUGAAAAGGGAUAUUUAAUUACGACUGAUGUAAUUUAAUAACGUGAAUCGAAAAAAUUGCGAAAUUUCGUUUUUUUUUUUUUUUUUUUAACUUACUACGAGUAUGCGUAUUAAUGCAAAAAAAUAUAAAAACGUACCCACGAAUAACUUUCAUUAACAGACACUGGUUCUUUAAUGCAAAUAUGAAAAAAAAAAAAGUAUAAGGAAUGUUCGAUAUAAAUAUAAUAACGAUGCAAUACGCAAGCAAAAUAUAUCCACAUAUCGAACACAAAAACUAUAUGCAACGAUGUUUCGAAUACACGGUUAUAAUAGUAUAGAGAUAAAAGAAGUCAAUUUUCACGUACCGAAAAGAAAAAUGGGAGAAAAAAGUCGAGGCGAAGUUCCAUGAGAGCGAGCAAGCAGGUUCGCGCUUGCAGCAUUCGAUCUCCAUGAUCCGGGCAAGACACGACUCAAAGAGGUCCGUCGCUGAAAAACGUCAGAUCCCAUCAGCUAUGCGGCUAGUACGGCUCAUCAGCAAGGCGGAACGAUCGCGAGAGAUCGCGAUCGAAGCGAGUCACGCCGCGAUUCGUCGUCGUCGUCGUCGUCGUCGUCGUCCUCCUCUUCGUCUUCGUCUUCGUCUUCGUCGUCCUCAUUUUCCUCGUCAUUCUCGUCAUCGUCGUCGUUCCCAAGCGGAGCGGAGAGAAACGCGCUCGUGCACGCUUAGCAGCGGCCGACCGAGAUCCCAGAGAUCGGAGAUCGUGUUCGCUUUGCGAUGCCGCCGACUCGUUACCAGAUCGUUCUCGCAUCUCCUUCUCAUCUCGGCACGCAUGCGCUUCUGCCGACCAACUCUCCAUGCUUAUGCUAUACGCCGCGUGGAAAUGGCGAGAGAUUGGCGGAUUUUAGCAAAGUGUUCAUGGUUGGCUGGAUCUUGUCGAGGAUACGUGGAUGAUUAUUCAUCGAGAAAAAUAUCGCGAACGUAUGAAAAAGAGAAAAAGUUUGGUUAUGUGCUGAAGAUGACCGAUCACUUUGGACAAGCUUUAACAAACGGGUGUAUGUGCAGAAAAGAUUUAUGCGAAUCGUGAGCAAGAGUUUCGAAGAUAAGUUGAAGGAAUACGAAUCCGACAGAGCGAGGAAACAAAUAUUGGAAGGGAUUCGAGAGAAUCGGUGUGCGUUUAUGCGUUGGUGAAGGAUGAGACAAGAGUGUCGAUGAAUAUAGUGUAACGUACGCCGUGUGCUAAAUGUGCAAAUUCUCCUUGUACGCGAGAAAUGAGAUUGAAGAUAGAUACAAGAAUCGAAGGUAAUUAUAUGGAAAAGUUUUCGUUUUAUUUCGCGAAUAGUACUUAUAAACAAGAUGUCAAAAACAAACGUAGAUAUGUUAAUAGUUUUGUGCGGAAACUGUAAGAAAUUGGAAAACAAAUUUCCUUUAUUAUAUUAUUUAGUCGUGUUUAAGAGAAUAUCGAUGAUAUCUAAUAAUAAUCGCUGGAAUAGAUUUAUUCCAAUUUGCACUUUCGAGUUAACGAAUUCGAGUGAACGUGAUCUUCUCUCUUCUAUUUAUCACUUAAUCUAACCUAACCUAAUUUAACCAAAUCGAAACCCAAAGUUUCCGCACGAAAACAUAUUAUUGAAUUUCUCUUACAAAAUCUAUCUACUUUACGUAAAACGAAGCCUUCGAAAAAAUCAAUAGACAAAAAUAACUCGACGAAUCGAGACCCACGCGAAAAAUAAUGCUUCGCGACAAACGUUCAUUUCGAUUCGCCGUAAACACUCUGCGAAGCAAUUUCAAUUUCACGAGCCGAGGUAUAAAUCUCGACCGUAGCUGUCAAUUGUUUUCUGAACUCUAAAUUCGAGCGUUUCCGCGUGAAAAAGACGUAGAAGGCGGGGGAUCAGGCGCGCCAUUGUAAAUCGGCCCGGUUGGAAAAAUGAUGGCGCGCCACGGUGAAGGUGAUUUACCACCUUAAUACGUUCGGGCAUAAUUCGUUCCGUGGACAGUAGUAACUAGGCAGGUCGGUAACGGUUCACGCGAAAAGGAGUUAUCCCCGCGAUAAUCGUGAGCGCGGUUGGUGAAAAAUCGUUUUGCGGAGGCCGCGCGCAAUAUUUUCGUCUGCCCGUUCGACGAAGGAGGGACGAAGCUAUGCGGCGAAUUCGAAAAAGCGCCGUGAACACGGUGGCGAGUAUUAAAUGCCUUAUCGCGCUCAAAGUCCCGCGGCAAGCCUUAAUAUUCAAGCGUAUCUGGCUUGAUCCUAGCAGCCGUGUCGGCAGAUCGCGUUACACCGGACCUGCCUCGCUAAUUUACCGCGGUAUUCCUGUCUUUCUGUUUUUCUAUGGAGCGUUUCGUGUGAAUUUCGUUGAAUUUUGAUCGAAAAUUUAAGAGUCUCCGAUGCGGACGAACGAGAGAACAAGUGAGAACAUGCUGCGAGUUCUUAUAAUCUUUUUUUCAUAUUUUAUUUUUCAUGUUAAAAUUUCGAAUGUUUGAUUAAUAUUUUUUUAAGUAAUAUAAUCCUAAUUUUAUAAUCUCUCAAGUAUUACAUGAGCAAAUACGUAUAUCUUUUAAUCAGUAAAUUUGUCAUUGAAUAAUACUAAUGUUCGACUAUUGUAUUUAUUAUGUAGCUCUUGUGCAGUUUAUAGAUUAGAAAUAUAAAAUCGUGCGAUAAAACAUAUUUCCUAUAUGUUGGAAUUAAAUGUUAACUGUCGUACAAUCAUUAUUGAUAAAUUUAACAUCAGUAGACUUUUAAAAGAAUCUUAUCUUAUAAUAAAUAGGUUUAAUAAAUUAAACCCGAAGAAAUAGUAUAUUCGUAUCUGCUGUAA